AUUCCAGCUCCAAUAGCGUAUGUUAAAGUUGUUGCAGUUAAAAAGCUCGUAGUUGGAUUUCUGACAGGGGGCCGAACACCACUGUAGUGAGUGUUUUGGUACCUGUCAUCCUUCUGUUAACCCUAGCGUCAUUCAUUUGUCGUUGGGCGGACCAGAUACUUUACCUUGAGAAAAUUAGAGUGUUUCAGGCAGGCCUAGCCGGAAUACAUUAGCAUGGAAUAAUGGAAUAGGACUAUAGUCUCGUCGUUGAUUACGUGGACUGCAGUAAUGAUUAAUAGGGAUAGUUGGGGGCAUUAGUAUUUAUUAGCUAGAGGUGGAAUUCUCUAAUUUGAUAAAGACUAACUUAUGCGAAAGCAUUUGCCAAGGAUGUUUUCAUUG
rnacentral:rRNA from 1 species